CCUACGGGGGGCAGCAGUCGGGAAUAUUGCGCAAUGGAGGAAACUCUGACGCAGUGACGCCGCGUAUAGGAAGAAGGUUUUCGGAUUGUAAACUAUUGUCGUUAGGGAAGAUACAAGACAGUACCUAAGGAGGAAGCCCCGGCUAACUAUGUGCCAGCAGCCGCGGUAAUACAUAGGGGGCAAGCGUUAUCCGGAUUUAUUGGGUGUAAAGGGUGCGUAGACGGAGAAACAAGUUGGUUGUGAAAUCCCUCGGCUCAACUGAGGAACUGCAACCAAAACUAUUUCCCUUGAGUGUCGGAGAGGAAAGUGGAAUUCCUAGUGUAGCGGUGAAAUGCGUAGAUAUUAGGAGGAACACCAGUGGCGAAGGCGACUUUCUGGACGAUAACUGACGUUGAGGCACGAAAGUGUGGGGAGCAAACAGGAUUAGAUACCCCGGUA
rnacentral:rRNA from 1 species